rnacentral:piRNA from 1 species
GUCGCAGAAACGGUGUACGGUGAACCU